GCAAGUCGAGCGGUAGAAUUUUAGCUUGCUAAAAUUUGAGAGCGGCGAACGGGUGAGUAACACGUUGGUAUCUGCCCCCAAGUCAGGGAUAGCCAUUGGAAACGAUGAUUAAUACCGGAUAGUCUCUUCGGAGUAAAGAUUUAUUGCUUGGGGAGGAACCUGCGGUCUAUCAGCUAGUUGGUGAGAUAAAAGCUCACCAAGGCUAUGACGGAUACCUGGUCUGAGAGGAUGAUC
rnacentral:rRNA from 1 species